rnacentral:rRNA from 1 species
UACGGGGGGAGCAAGCGUUGUUCGGAUUUACUGGGCGUAAAGGGCGCGUAGGCGGCCUGCUAAGUCGGAUGUGAAAUCCCUCGGCUCAACCGAGGAACUGCGUCCGAUACUGGUUGGCUUGAAUCCGGGAGAGGGAUGUGGAAUUCCAGGUGUAGCGGUGAAAUGCGUAGAUAUCUGGAGGAACACCGGUGGCGAAGGCGACAUCCUGGACCGGUAUUGACGCUGAGGCGCGAAAGCCAGGGGAGCAAAGCGGG